UGACCUUCUCCGGACAAUAAUCCCCAGGCGCGGGUGUGUCGUUAUUCAGUUUGGGAUCAUGUUUUCCAGCCAUUGUGUAGGAUGGGGUGUUGUCAAGACGAACUUUCUCAGGACAAUAAGCGCCUGGUGCCGGUGUGUCGCUGGGCUUUUGUAAGUUGUGACGACCGCCCAUGGAAUACGCAGGUGUGUGAUCGAGUCUGACCUUCUCAGGACAGUAAUCUCCAGGCGCGGGUGUGUGGUUAUUCAGCUUGGGAUCAUGUUUUCCAGCCAUUGUGUAUGAUGGAGUAUUGUCAAGACGAACUUUCUCAGGACAAUAAGCGCCUGGUGCCGGUGUGUCGCUGGGCUUUUGUAAGUUAUGACGACCGCCCAUGGAAUACGCAGGAGUGUGAUCGAGUCUGACCUUCUCAGGACAGUAAUCUCCAGGCGCGG